rnacentral:rRNA from 1 species
CUUGACUGUAGCCUGGAAUUGGGUUCGGGCUCUUCUUGCGCAGCCUAGGUGGGAGGCGUUGAAGGCUUUCUUUUGGGGAAGCUGGAGCCAUCAGUGAGAGACCACUCUGGAGGAGCUAGAAUUCUAAUGGCGUUCCUUGAAGCAGGACGCUUGACAGUUUCAGGUGGGCAGUUUGACUGGGGCGGUCACCUCCUAAAAGGUAACGGAGGUGUGCAAAGGUUCCCUCAGGCUGGACGGAAAUCAGCCGUAGAGUGUAAAGGCAGAAGGGAGCUUGACUGCAAGACCUACAAGUCGAGCAGGGGCGAAAGCCGGCCUUAGUGAUCCGACGGUUCCAUGUGGAAGGGCCGUCGCUCAACGGAUAAAAGUUA